rnacentral:rRNA from 1 species
UACGUAGGGGGCAAGCGUUGUCCGGAAUUACUGGGCGUAAAGCGCGUGUAGGCGGGACGGCAAGUCGGACGUGAAAGGCUGGGGCUCAACCCCAGAUCGCCGUUCGAAACUGCCGUUCUUGAGGGUCGAAGAGGAGAGUGGAAUUCCUGGUGUAGCGGUGAAAUGCGUAGAGAUCAGGAGGAACACCCGUGGCGAAGGCGGCUCUCUGGUCGACAUCUGACGCUGGAGACGCGAAAGCGUGGGGAGCGAACAGG